rnacentral:rRNA from 1 species
AUACGGAGGGUGCAAGCGUUACUCGGAAUCACUGGGCGUAAAGCGCGCGCAGGCGGCUAUUUAAGUUGGAUGUGAAAGCCUAUGGCUCAACCAUAGAACUGCAUCCAAAACUAUUUAGCUAGAGUGUGGGAGAGGAAGAUGGAAUUAGUUGUGUAGGAGUAAAAUCCGUAGAGAUAACUAGGAAUACCAAAAGCGAAGGCAAUCUUCUGGAACACUACUGACGCUGAGGCGCGAAAGCGUGGGGAGCAAACAGGAUUAGAAACCCUAGUAGUCC